rnacentral:rRNA from 1 species
UGGCAACAGCUCAAAUUUGAAAUCUGGCCCCCUCGGGGCCCGAGUUGUAAUUUGGAGAAGAUGCUUCGGGUGUGGCCCCGGUCUAAGUUCCUUGGAACAGGACGUCACAGAGGGUGAGAAUCCCGUACGUGCCC